rnacentral:lncRNA from 1 species
GCAAGCGUAGAAGAACUUUUCAGUGAACAAAACUUCAAGCCAAUGAGGAAGAUGUGAGGAAACCCAGCAUAUAUACGUUACUGCAACAAUUAUUCAAUUUGAUUUUCAGAAUAAAAUAACAAAUUAAAUUGCAGCAUGAGAUAAAUUAAAGCUGCACAAGACUAUAGAGCAAUGAACAAAUUAAAGAACUCCACCAUGAAAUGAUUUGAGAUAUCUUUUGAUGUUUGAUGAGAGAGAAAAUUUGGUCAGGAUUUAUGGAUAUAGAGAAAGAGGAGUGUUAGGAAAGAAAACGGUGUAGAAGAUUGUCCCUUCAUCCAUUUGGCCUUUGGCAGGGGCUUCCUUCGAUUUUCACCUGGACUUCAUAAAUUCCUCAAAUUUCCUUCUUGAUAACAGUAAUCCUGCGUUCGGAGAGAGGUGAGUCACCGUGUUUCGUCACAUCCAAAUCUACUUUUUCUUAACCGAUUUCUC